rnacentral:lncRNA from 1 species
ACCGUUAACAUGCAAAUAAGGAAUUUGAUUUUUGCGAAAAUGAACGGAAGCACAGACAUGCAUGUAACUUGAAUUUUCGUCACCGAAAGUGCAUUCUCUGAUUUUUGCUCAUUGUCGCCAAUACGCGGCCAGAAACUUGUUAUGACGAUGCAAAGCUAGUUUAACUGCAAUGCGAAGGUUAAGCUCUAAGGGAGAAAGCGGGCGGCCUUCCUCAAGUUUGUCAAGCACCGAAAUAGUGGUAGAGCAGUUGGAGGCAAGACGCUUAGGACUUUUAGCGUUAACCAACCAUUUUUUAGCCAUACUGCGAGUACGCUCCAAAGUAAAACCUAGUUAAGACCAAAAUCUCCUAUAACAGUCCACUAGAUAACAAAUAACAAUACCAACAACCAUGGCUAAGUCACAUGCACAUGACAACUGUGGCACCUAUGGCGUCGUCUCCUUUCUGGAGGCAUUGUCGCAGCUCUUCUUCGUCCUCCUUGUGGCUCCCGGGGAAACCCCGAUCGGUGUAUCGGGUGGUGGCGGCGCUACGGUUUCAUAUCCUUUCUGAAGGUGACGCCUUGGAGCUCAUGGUCCGUCGUGGACGGCUUCUCUUCACGGUGAACGGUUUGCUGGGGAGGUACCAUGAGGCUUCAAGCGGUGUCUUUUCUUUCCACAUUUAGUUUGCUUGAAGUAGUAGGGGCUUGUAGCUGUUCUUAUCACCCUUGUAUCUUGCCAUGUGUGUGUGUCCGUGGUGUCGAAU